GACAGAGGGGGCAAGCGUUGCUCGGAAUUACUGGGCGUAAAGGGCGCGUAGGCGGCCACCGCAAGUCGACUGUGAGAUCUCCGGGCUUAACCCGGAAAGGUCAGCCGAUACUGCGGGGCUAGAGUGCAGAAGGGGCAACUGGAAUUCUCGGUGUAGCGGUGAAAUGCGUAGAUAUCGAGAGGAACACCUGCGGCGAAGGCGGGUUGCUGGGCUGACACUGACGCUGAUGCGCGAAAGCUAGGGGAGCGAACGGG
rnacentral:rRNA from 1 species